AACGAACGCUGGCGGCAUGCCUAACACAUGCAAGUCGAACGAAGCCUUCGGGCUUAGUGGCGCACGGGUGCGUAACGCGUGGGAAUCUGCCCUUGGGUUCGGAAUGACAGUUAGAAAUGACUGCUAAUACCGGAUGAUGUCUUCGGACCAAAGCUUUAUCGCCUAAGGAUGAGCCCGGGUAGGUUUAGGUAGUUGGUGGGGUAAUGGCCCACCAAGCCGACGAUCCUUAGCUGGUCCGAGAGGAUGAUCAGCCACACUGGGACUGAGACACGGCCCAGACUCCUACGGGAAGCAGCAGUGGGGAAUAUUGGACAAUGGGCGAGAGCCUGAUCCAGCAAUGCCGCGUGAGUGAUGAAGGCCUUAGGGUUAUAAAGCUCUUUUACCAGGGAUGAUAAUGACAGUACCUGGAGAAUAAGCUCCGGCUAACUCCGUGCCAGCCGCCGCGGUAACAC
rnacentral:rRNA from 1 species